rnacentral:rRNA from 1 species
UACGUAGGUGGCAAGCGUUGUCCGGAAUUAUUGGGUGUAAAGGGCGUGUAGGCGGCGCAAUAAGUCUGGUGUGAAAUCUCACGGCUCAACCGUGAAACCGCAUUGGAAACUGUUGUGCUAGAGUGUCGGAGAGGAAAGCGGAAUUCCAUGUGUAGCGGUGAAAUGCGUAGAUAUAUGGAGGAACACCAGUGGCGAAGGCGGCUUUCUGGACGAAUACUGACGCUGAGGCGCGAAAGCGUGGGGAGCAAACAGG